AUUGAACGCUGGCGGCAUGCCUUACACAUGCAAGUCGAACGGUAACAGGUCUUCGGAUGCUGACGAGUGGCGAACGGGUGAGUAAUACAUCGGAACGUGCCUAGUAGUGGGGGAUAACUACUCGAAAGAGUGGCUAAUACCGCAUGAGAGCUACGGAUGAAAGCAGGGGAUCGCACGACCUUGUGCUACUAGAGCGGCCGAUGGCAGAUUAGGUAGUUGGUGGGGUAAAAGCUUACCAAGCCGACGAUCUGUAGCUGGUCUGAGAGGACGAUCAGCCACACUGGGACUGAGACACGGCCCAGACUCCUACGGGAGGCAGCAGUGGGGAAUUUUGGACAAUGGGCGCAAGCCUGAUCCAGCAAUGCCGCGUGCAGGAUGAAGGCCUUCGGGUUGUAAACUGCUUUUGUACGGAACGAAAAGCCCUGGGUUAAUACCCUGGGGUCAUGACGGUACCGUAAGAAUAAGCACCGGCUAACUACGUGCCAGCAGCCGCGGUAAAAC
rnacentral:rRNA from 1 species